rnacentral:rRNA from 1 species
CCUACGGGAGGCAGCAGUGAGGAAUAUUGGUCAAUGGGCGCAAGCCUGAACCAGCCAAGUCGCGUGAGGGAUGACGGUCCUAUGGAUUGUAAACCUCUUUUGUCGGGGAGCAAAGCGCGGUACGAGUACCGUGAAGGAGAGUACCCGAAGAAAAAGCAUCGGCUAACUCCGUGCCAGCAGCCGCGGUAAUACGGAGGAUUCAAGCGUUAUCCGGAUUUAUUGGGUUUAAAGGGUGCGUAGGCGGUCGGAUAAGUUAGAGGUGAAAUCCCGAGGCUCAACUUCGGAAUUGCCUCUGAUACUGUUCGGCUAGAGAGUAGUUGCGGUAGGCGGAAUGUAUGGUGUAGCGGUGAAAUGCUUAGAGAUCAUACAGAACACCGAUUGCGAAGGCAGCUUACCAAGCUACUUCUGACGUUGAGGCACGAAAGCGUGGGGAGCAAACAGGAUUAGAUACCCGGGUAGUC